rnacentral:misc_RNA from 1 species
AUACGCUUUUGUUUGUAACAAAACAAAACGUUUUAAACUCCAAAAGAAAUAGUGGAAAUAUAACUUCCGGAUGCGAAUUGUUGGGAACUGAGUAAAAUCGGUUCUUUGAAAAAGGGACUUCAAGUAAUUGACACUUCAGAGUAGAGCAGUGAGGUGAAAUUCUCUUUAAUGAGAGUUUGGUUCCGAAAACAUUUGUAUCCGGUUAUCAUAAUCUGUUCUACAACCUCCAAAAUAUCAAACAAUAAACCCCAUGUACAACAACUCGAACUAAACAUUUUUUUGUCGUCCGCUUACACACUUGUUGUGUGAGAAGAUACUGCAAAGAAAAAACCUGAACUUAAGAA